CUAUUAAUAAUUAUUAAUUGAUUAAUUAGCAGCUUUAGGUCUACUGUAACCCAAUUUAUAUUCGCGAAUACAAAUUUUCGCGUUUUGCCGAGGUCGGACAUAUUUGCGAAUAUUAAUUUCCGCGUUUUCUUGAUUUCCGAAAAAAAAUAUUCGCGGAUUGGAAAGUCUGAUGGGGCCGUAAAAUCCAUUAGCCGACUAUUAAUCUUCAAUAAUUGAGUACAUUAAGGGAUUUCAGAAUAAUGGAUGCACAACAUUUACCAUAUAUAGGUUGUUAUUACAAGUUCAGAUAUUUACAAAUUCACUGAUAGAUGUUAUUAUACUAUUUUAUCAAAAUUGAAUGUCUCACAAACACAAUUUCAAAUAUAGUUAUAGAUACCAUUUCUUUGCAAAACAUCAUAAAAUAAUCAAUGUUAUAUUGUGUUUUUUCUAUUUCACAGCUA